AGCCCGCCGAGCCCGCCCGAACCCGCCCGAACCCGCCCGAGCCCGCCGAGCCCGGGCGUCGCGGAGCUCCGGCCCGAGGGGUGGAAACAAGGAGAGUGGAAGCGGAGAUGGGACGUCAGUUUUGGAGUAGCUGAAGCGUUAUUUGAGCUACAGGGUUUGAUAAUGUCUUGGCUGUUUUCCACCUACACCUCUAGCAGCCUUGCUGAAGAACCUAAACAUCAUUGCUUGGCUGCCACAGCUCAGACUCUUGGGAUGUUAUUCUGCUCUAAGAGAUCCCAAAUGGGCAAACUGGAGACCCUCAAGGACACAAAGGACACACUGACAUGACGUCUCAGGUCAGUCCAGCUGAGGAGCUGGCAGUUCUGUGCUGGCCUGCACAAAGUCACUCAGCAGGAGGGCGUGAAGAUGCAGAGCAAGGAAGUUACCUUGAAGGCAGAACCUCCAGAUGAGAGACUUGUGCACUUGCUGACACUUUCUCACUCUUGGGAGCAGAGAUCCCACUGCUGGGGAGGAAAGCAGAGUGACAGGAGUGACAUUUAUCUGGCUCAACAGACAGCUCUGAGGCUGUGCCUUGCACCAAGGUGCCAAUGAUACUCUAGCAACUCAGGGAAGGGGAGAGUAAUCCCAGAGGGGAAAAUUGAGGCAGCUAAAGGAAAAGCCUAUUUUGUGGGAACUUCUUCAGAGACUUUUGCAGCUCAGACAGUCACGGGCUGAGGAAAACUUCUGCUGGUGGUACCUGGUGCAAUAACACAAGGCCAUGCUCCUCCAGAGAUACAGAUGGGUCACUGUGACACAGUCACAAGGCUAGUUAUCAAUACACAAAGUGGCAGCAGGAGGUGAAUGUGAAGUGAUUGAGAGCAUGGAAAAGAGAUUGCAGUAUCUCUGAGAACAGAGAGCCCUGGCUCUUUUGCUAAUAAAAGAAGAAACAGCCUUCAUGAAUUGUAAGGCUGUGAACACCAGACCACUGUAAGAUGAGGUAAGAGAUGUAUGAUCUGUGUUUCCAGGCCAAAUCAUCUCGUUCCUUCCUUUUCUUGGCUGAAGGAUAAACUGUGUAACUGUCACUGCAGAACUGCAAAAUGAAGCAGCUCUCUGAGAUCAUGCUUGAAUUGUUCCUCAGGUACUGUUCCCAUAUGGAAGUAACUGUAUUUGGAGUUGUACACCCUUUCAUAAAGCUGCUCAUCUGGUGCUCAUACUUGGGUACACACUUCAUGUCAGGAAAUGGCAGAUCCUGGCAUGAGAGGCCUUCCUCAUGUGGGGGUGUGUUAGAAUCAGUGAUGCUAAAGCUAUGGAAAGCUUAGUACUGCAGUGCUAAGUGGCUGCUUGUGUGUCCCAGACUGAGAGUUCUUUGGAUUUUGUGCUGUGAGAGUUCUCUCUUCCAAAUGGUCUUAGCAAGUAUGAUGAGGAAAAGAA